UUUCUCGUUUAAAUCUCUCGUCGAUGUAUCGUGACGAACGGGCUCGUAAUAUCAAAAAUGAUACUUUUGGGAGUGAUAAUGAUAGUGGCGUUGUGAUGAGGGAGUGGAAGUUCGGUGGGGGCGUGCAAAUCAAGGAAGCCGACGUCGGACAGCCUUGUACAGAAUGCAGCAAGUGCAAGGAAGGCUAUGAACCGCACACUUGGAG